AGAGUUUGAUCCUGGCUCAGAUCGAACGCUGGCGGCGUGGCUAAAACAUGCAAGUCGAACGCGAACGUUCCCUUCGGGGAACAAGUAGAGUGGCGAAAGGGCGAGGAAUACAUGGGUAACGUGCCUCGAGCACGAGGACAGCCGGGGGAAACUCCGGUUAAUACUCGAUAAGACCACAGCACCGCAGGGUGCAGGGGUCAAAGGGUGGGGACCUUCGGGCCUGCCGGCUCGAGAGCGGCCCAUGUCCUAUCAGCUUGUUGGUGGGGUAACGGCCUACCAAGGCUACGACGGGUACCGGGACUGAGAGGUUGACCCGGCGCAUCGGGACUGAGACACUGCCCGGACUCCUACGGGAGGCUGCAGUAACGAAUAUUGGGCAAUGGGCGAAAGCCUGACCCAGCGACGCCGCGUGUGGGAAGAAUGCCUUCGGGUUGUAAACCACUGUCAGGGAUUACCAACCAACCGGUGUGAAUAGCGCCGGGAGUUGAGGAGUCCCAGAGGAAGUCACGGCUAACUUCGUGCCAGCAGCCGCGGUAAUACGAAGGUGGCUAGCGUUGUUCGGAAUCACUGGGCUUAAAGAGCACGUAGGCGGAUGAUCAAGCGUCUUGUGAAAGCCCUCGGCUCAACCGGGGAAUUGCUUGGCGAACCGAUCAUCUAGGCAG
rnacentral:rRNA from 1 species